CUGUCAACUGCAGCCGCUCCGUCGAGGGCUGCGUGUGUGGGGAGGGGCUUUACCGCAACACUGAGGGUGUUUGUGUCAUCCCCGCCCGCUGUCCCUGCCAUGACCAGGGCAUGCUGCCGGAGGCCGGCUCAGAGUGGGAUGAAGGCUGUAUGACAUGUCGAAACUUUGCCAGUUAAGAUGUCCGCCUCUCAACUGUGAUGAGGGCGAGGUCAAGGUUGAGGAGCCAGGCAGCUGCUGUCCAGUCUGCAGAAAGCAGUUUCCAGACGAGCCUGUGCCAGAGUGUCGC